rnacentral:rRNA from 1 species
CCUACGGGGGGCUGCAGUGGGGAAUAUUGGACAAUGGGGGGAACCCUGAUCCAGCCAUGCCGCGUGUGUGAAGAAGGCCCUCGGGUUGUAAAGCACUUUCAGUGAGGAAGAACGCCUGGUGGUUAAUACCCAUCAGGAAAGACAUCACUCACAGAAGAAGCACCGGCUAACUCCGUGCCAGCAGCCGCGGUAAUACGGAGGGUGCGAGCGUUAAUCGGAAUUACUGGGCGUAAAGCGCGCGUAGGUGGCUUGAUAAGCCGGUUGUGAAAGCCCCGGGCUCAACCUGGGAACGGCAUCCGGAACUGUCCAGCUAGAGUGCAGGAGAGGAAGGUAGAAUUCCCGGUGUAGCGGUGAAAUGCGUAGAGAUCGGGAGGAAUACCAGUGGCGAAGGCGGCCUUCUGGACUGACACUGACACUGAGGUGCGAAAGCGUGGGUAGCAAACAGGAUUAGAUACCCUUGUAGUC